CUGACCUUGGCGACCAGGGGCAACUUCCUUCAAAUAGACGGCGCUCUGGGGCAGAGGGAGAGAGGUUACAGAAGCUGUAAGGGGACCUGGGCUCUGGGCUCAGGGACACCAGGGGGCAGAAGAGAGGUCUAAGGAAGAGAAAAGAAAAGCAGUUUCUUGUUACCGCUCCCCCAAAUCUUACUUGGGACAGGUCGUGAAUCAGGACGGAAGGUAAAAGCCUCUUCCUUCUUCUCAUUUCACUUCCUGUUUCUGAGAUCACAGCCCAGACUGAUGCGAGUAUUAUCAUUGGUAAGGAAACUGUGAGCCGCAGGAUAAAAAUGCUGCGAAGGCAUGAAGCUAGUAGGAUUACGGAAAGAAUGACACAAGCUAAUCGCGGACCUGGACUGGGAAUCGGAACUGGAGACACCCUAGCCCAGCUGGAGAAAACAAUUCCAGCAGAGGAUUGCGAGAACAAAGACAUCCCAGUUCUACCGAACUUUGAGUUUUAGUUUGCAAUGCUUAAAGCCUUUGGGUUCAGGACCCCUUUAUAACUGAGCAAUAACUGAGAACCCCAAGGGGCUUUUGUUUAUGUGGGUUAUAUUUAUCAAUAUCUGGCAUAUAGAAAUUAAAGCUGAGAAAGUUUUUUAACAUUAAAAUGUUUAAUAUUAAAAUAUCCAAUGACAGGGGUGCCUGGGUGGCUCA